rnacentral:lncRNA from 10 species
GAUUCCAGGGUCUGAGAGAGAGCCAAGAUGAAUAUGGCCUUCCAAGAAGACAUGCUGACAAGAAAAGACUCAGAGUGCCCAGGAGCUUCCCCUUCCUACCAACCCUGCAGCCUGGAACCCUAGCCAUACCUCUCCCUGACUGUGGACAGUACAGCCUUUGAGCUGAGCCAAGCUGCUCCCCUGGCGAUUUCCAUAAGAGUACCACUUAUCAGCACCUUGGACAGCAUACAAAUGAUUCUGCAUCUCCAGGAAGAACUGGUCCUUCAGCCAAGGGCAGCACUGAGCCCCAAGUGGCCCCAGAUGAGUGCAAAGGACUACCAGUUUUGAUCAGCGACUGGUUGAAUUCGUGGAUGCAAAACCUGUGGAUACAGAGGGACAGAGGCCUACUGUACAUGGCACAUGAGUUUCACUCUUGUUGCCCAGGCUGGAGUGCAAUGGCAGAAUCUCGGCUUACCACAACCUCCACCUCCAGGGUUCAAGUGAUUCUCCUGCCUCAGCCUCCUGAGUAGCUGGGAUUACAGGUGUGUGCCACCACGCCUGGCUAAUUUUGUAUUUUUAGUAGAUAUGGGGUUUCUCCAUGUUGGUCAGGCUGUUCUCAAACUCCUGACCUCAGGUGUUCCACCCGCCUCAGCCUCCCAAAGUGCUGGGAUUACAGGCAUGAGCCACCGUGCCCGGCCAAAAAAUGACCCAUUACCUUCAAAGGAACAAAAAUUAGACUAGCAACUGACUUCUCAAGAGAAAUAAUGGAAGACAGAAAACAAUGAAUUGAUGUCUUUUAAAUCAUGAAAGAAAAUGUCUGCUAAAAUAAAAUGCUGAAGCUAGCAAAAAAUCCUUCAAAAAUGAAUAUAAAAUAAAGACAUUUUG